GCACAAGCAGCGGAGCGUGUGGUUUAAUUCGAUGCUACACGAAGAACCUUACCAGGGUUUGACAUGCAAGUGGUAGGAAUCCGAAAGGUGACCGACCCUUCGGGGAGCUUGCACAGGUGCUGCAUGGCUGUCGUCAGCUCGUGUCGUGAGAUGUUCGGUUAAGUCCGCUAACGAGCGCAACCCUCGUCGUGUGUUAUACGUGUCACACGAUACUGCCGGUAUCAAGCCGGAGGAAGGUGGGGAUGAUGUCAAGUCAGCAUGGCCUUUAUAUCCUGGGCUACACACACGCUACAAUGGCAGAUACAAUAGGUCGCUAAACCGCGAGGUGGAGCCAAUCCUCAAAGUCUGUCUCAGUUCAGAUUGUAGGCUGCAACUCGCCUGCAUGAAGUUGGAGUUGCUAGUAAACGCAGGUCAGCCAUACUGCGUUGAAUACGUUCCCGGGGCUU
rnacentral:rRNA from 1 species